rnacentral:rRNA from 1 species
UUCCGGUUGAUCCUGCCGGACCCUACUGCUAUCGGGGUGGGACUAAGCCAUGCGAGUUGUGCGUCUUCGAGCUAUGGUGGAGGCGCGGCAUACGGCUCAGUAACACGUGGCUAACCUACCCUUGGGACGGGGACAACCCCGGGAAACUGGGGCUAAUCCCCGAUGGGUGAGGAGGCCUGGAAUGGUUCCUCGCCGAAAGGGUGCUGAAACCAUGCUUUUCAGCGUUGCCCAAGGACGGGGCCGCGGCCGAUCAGGUUGUUGGUGGGGUAACGGCUCACCAAGCCUUUGACCGGUACGGGCCGUGAGAGCGGGAGCCCGGAGAUGGGCACUGAGAUAAGGGCCCAGGCCCUACGGGGUGCAGCAGGCGCGAAAACUUCGCAAUGUGCGAAAGCGUGACGGGGCUAUCCCGAGUGCCGUCCGCUGAGGAUGGCUUUUCCACGGUGUAAGGAGCCGUGGGAAUAAGGAGAGGGCAAGACUGGUGUCAGCCGCCGCGGUAAUACCAGCUCUCCGAGUGGUAGGGAUGAUUAUUGGGCUUAAAGCGUCCGUAGCCGGCUCGGUAAGUCUCUCGUCAAAUCCAGCGACCUAAUCGUUGGACUGCGGGAGAUACUGUUGGGCUAGGGGGCGGGAGAGGCCGACGGUAUUCUCGGGGUAGGGGUGAAAUCCUAUAAUCCCGGGAGGACCACCAGUGGCGAAGGCGGUCGGCUAGAACGCGCUCGACGGUGAUGGACGAAAGCUGGGGGAGCGAACCGGAUUAGAUACCCGGGUAGUCCCAGCUGUAAACGAUGCGGGCUAGGUGUUGGGGGGGCUACGAGCCUCUUCAGUGCCGCAGGGAAACCAUUAAGCCCGCCGCCUGGGGAGUACGGCCGCAAGGCUGAAACUUAAAGGAAUUGGCGGGGG